AUGAAACACUCCUACGGGAGGCAGCAGUAGGGAAUCUUCCGCAAUGGACGCAAGUCUGACGGAGCAACGCCGUGUGAGUGAAGAAGGUCUUCGGAUCGUAAAGCUCUGUUGUUAGAGAAGAACAGCGCAUAGAGUAACUGUUAUGCGUGUGACGGUAUCUAACCAGAAAGCCACGGCUAACUACGUGCCAGCAGCCGCGGUAAUACGUAGGUGGCGAGCGUUGUCCGGAUUUAUUGGGCGUAAAGGGAGUGUAGGCGGUCUUUUAAGUCUGAUGUGAAAGCCCACGGCUCAACCGUGGAGGGUCAUUGGAAACUGGGAGACUUGAGUGCAGAAGAGGAGAGCGGAAUUCCAUGUGUAGCGGUGAAAUGCGUAGAUAUAUGGAGGAACACCAGUGGCGAAGGCGGCUCUCUGGUCUGUAACUGACGCUGAGGCUCGAAAGCGUGGGGAGCAAACAGGAUUAGAAACCCUAGUAGUCCGAAGUUC
rnacentral:rRNA from 1 species